GCUCAGGAUGAACGCUAGCGGCAGGCCUAACACAUGCAAGUCGAGGGGUAACAGGGAGCUUGCUCCGYUGACGACCGGCGCACGGGUGCGCACCGCGUAUGGAACCUACCUUCUACAGGGGAAUAGCCCAGGGAAACUUGGAUUAAUGCCCCGUGGUACCGUUUUACGGCAUCGUUUAACGGUUAAAGCCUUCGGGCGGUAGAAGAUGGCCAUGCGUCCCAUUAGUUUGUUGGUAAGGUAACGGCUUACCAAGACUACGAUGGGUAGGGGCCCUGAGAGGGGGAUCCCCCACACUGGUACUGAGACACGGACCAGACUCCUACGGGAGGCAGCAGUGAGGAAUAUUGGACAAUGGAGGAGACUCUGAUCCAGCCAUGCCGCGUGCAGGAAGAAUGCCCUAUGGGUAGUAAACUGCUUUUAUACGGGAAGAAAAAGGACCACSUGUGGUCUGUUGACGGUACCGUAAGAAUAARGACCGGCUAACUCCGUGCCAGCAGCCGCGGUAAUACGGAGGGUCCGAGCGUUAUCCGGAAUUAUUGGGUUUAAAGGGUCCGUAGGCGGGCCGAUAAGUCAGGGGUGAAAGUCUGCCGCUCAACGGUAGAACUSCCUUUGAUACUGUCGGUCUUGAGUUAUAGUGAAGUUGCCGGAAUAUGUAGUGUAGCGGUGAAAUGCAUAGAUAUUACAUAGAACCCCGAUUGCGAAGGCAGGUGACUAACUAUAUACUGACGCUSAUGGACGAAAGCGUGGGGAGCGAACAGGAUUAGAUACCCUGGUAG
rnacentral:rRNA from 1 species